UCAAGGCAGUGGAAGAUGCAUGUCUAGACAUGCUAAAGAGUGGACAACGCCAAAUGAGGUAUAGACUGAAACAGAAGUACUUCAAUGGGAUACCUGCUAAUCAAGUGAGGACUACAUCACCUAUUCCAAGCAUGUUUGACAAUGACUGGAGAAAGUUGGUGGAGAAGUGGUCUACCCCAAAUCACAAGGAAAGUUGUGUGAAGAACAAACUUAAUCGUGAAAAAGUACAGUAUCAACAAUGCACAUGCUCUAAGUCCUACAUUGCAAAGGCUUUUAUAUUGGUAAGAAAAUAACCAUUGUUUACUUAUCUGCAUAGUUGAAUGAUAUGUGAAUGUGUAAUAUUGCCAAUAGAGUCAGUUUAACAUCUAUGUUACCUCAUAUAGUUGCCCCUGGUUGUUACAUUUGUGUUCACUUACAUUUCUUGAUUAUGCAACAACCUUUAUUUUAUGUGCAUAGUUGAAUAAUCUAUGAAUGUGUAAUGCUGCAAAUGAACACCCAUAACCAUUUAAAGAGGUGGUUAUUA